rnacentral:lncRNA from 1 species
GGGCCUUGGAAGGACCAGCUGAUAAACAAGUCAACGCCUGUGCUUCACAGUAAGGCUUCUGGCAGACCUGAAAGCAGCGAUAGAUAUGAUGCCAGCCUGUUGGAAUUGCACCAGCUCGCUUCCCUGAAAGAACCUAGGUGCUGAAGAAGUACUUGACUAACCUACCCGCAUUGUCAUUGUGACAGUCUGCAUCACCAUUUGGCCUAUUUUGUGAUCCCACAAGACAUGCUGCUACCCUGGGUUUUGUAGCUGGGUCAAUUGCUGAAGUUCUGCAAGCCCCAUGGAAGCCAACUGUCAUCCGCAUCAAAUGGAAGAAACUCAUUGUUCUGGCCCUCAUAAUUCAUGUUAAGUUGAAGCUAGAACCCGAGUAGAAACAGUAUAUAUUCUAACAUGAUUUACCACUGCGUGCCGUCGGGUGGCUACACCCGACAGGCUACUGUCUUGAACAGAGAAGGUGUUUUAUUCAAGAAUAUAUUUGUCAGCAGUAAUA